UACGGGGGGGGGCAAGCGUUGUUCGGAAUUACUGGGCGUAAAGGGCGCGUAGGCGGUCUGCUAAGUUGGAUGUGAAAACUCUGGGCUUAACCCAGAGCCUGCAUUCAAUACUGACAGGCUAGAGUUCUGGAGGGGAUAGCGGAAUUCCUGGUGUAGCGGUGAAAUGCGUAGAUAUCUGGAGGAACACCGGUGGCGAAGGCGGCAUCCUGGACCGACACUGACGCUGAGGAGCGAAAGCCAGGGGGAGCAAACGGG
rnacentral:rRNA from 1 species